UUGAUAACGAGCUCCUCAUCUAACUUGUGGUGGCGCGUCAAUCUUUACGGGACCACUCCGACGGCCAACACACUGAUCAUCAUCGGACCAAGCGGCCAUGGAGGGACAUAUGUUCUGACCUUUUUGAGACCUGGGGGGAUUUAAAUGCGGCGUCUCCGAAGAUAUGUGGUUACAACGCGUUGCUGAUCUAUCCGGGACGGCUUCAGGAGGGACUAUAAGAAGGAGGUUCAGUCCCCGAUUGGGUCCGGAGCAACCUCAGGGAGUACAUAUACAGCGGCCUUGGUUUACGGCGACGCACAAUGGCACAAAGAAGAACUAAAAGCAGCACUCUGGAGACUGAACAACCUCCUGAUGCGGAAAAUGAAUGGAUCGCCAACGCCAGCCCUCCUGUCCCUCAUGCAUCUGCUCGGGAGAAUCCGGGUCCCCUACCGGAUCCCUUUGCUCAACAGAGGCUC